rnacentral:rRNA from 1 species
UGGGGAAUAUUGCACAAUGGGCGAAAUCCUGAUGCAGCAACGCCGCGUGAGGGAAGACGGUCUUCGGAUUGUAAACCUCUGUCUUUAGUGAAGAAGACAGUGACGGUAGCUAAAGAGGAAGCCACGGCUAACUACGUGCC